rnacentral:rRNA from 1 species
AUUGAACGCUGGCGGCAGGCUUAACACAUGCAAGUCGAGCGAGCGGCGGACGGGUGAGUAAUGCCUACGAAUCUGCCUGGCGGAUGGGGAUAAAUAAUGGAAACGGUAGCUAAUACCGCAUACCAUCAGAUGUGCCCACAUGGGAUUAGCUAGUAGGUGGGGUAACGGCUCACCCAGGCGACGAUCCCUAGCUGGUCUGAGUGGAUGACCAGCCACACUGGAACGGAGACACGGUCCAGACUCCUACGGGAGGCAGCAGUGGGGAAUAUUGCACAAUGGGCGCAAGCCUUAUGCAGCCAUGCCGCGUGUGUGAAGAAGGCCUUCGGGUUGUAAAGCACUUUCAGCGGGGAGGCGUUACCCGCAGAAGAAGCACCGGCUAACUCCGUGCCAGCAGCCGCGGUAAUAC